rnacentral:tRNA from 5 species
GGUUUGGUAGUUCAGUUGGUUAGAAUGCCGCCCUGUCACGGCGGAGGUCGCGGGUUCGAGUCCCGUCCAGACCGCCA